UACGUAGGGCGCAAGCGUUGUCCGGAAUUACUGGGCGUAAAGCGCGUGUAGGCGGCGGCGUAAGUCGGGUGUGAAAUCCCUCAGCUCAACUGGGGAAGUGCACCUCGAUACUGUGUCGCUUGAAUGUCGGAGGGGAUGGCGGAAUUCCCGGUGUAGAGGUGAAAUUCGUAGAUAUCGGGAGGAACACCUGUGGCGAAGGCGGCCAUCUGGACGACAAUUGACGCUGAGACGCGAAAGCGUGGGUAGCAAACAGG
rnacentral:rRNA from 1 species